rnacentral:lncRNA from 1 species
UUAUUCUUUUUUUUUUGUCCAAAUGUACAAAAUUUCAUCUCUCUUUUUUUAAAAAAAAUAUACGAAAUUGAUCACGUCGAGCAAUACGAUCGAAUCGAACGAAGAUGGAGAAUCCAAGCAGAACCCGUCCAUUUUUUUUUUAUUAUCAUUUUUAUUGUUAUUUUUUUUUGUCACGUUUUGUUCAAAUACGCAGGAUUUAAUCGUGUCAAGCCUAUCACGAAGAUGGCCGCUCGAUUAAUUCUUUCGACCAUGUCGAGCCUAU